rnacentral:rRNA from 1 species
UACGGAGGGUGCAAGCGUUGCUCGGAAUUAUUGGGCGUAAAGGGUAGGUAGGUGGUCUCAUUUGUCUGGGGUGAAAGCCUUGAGCUUAACUCAAGAAGUGCCCCAGAAACGGUGAGACUGGAGUCCUGGAGAGGGUCGUGGAAUGCUUGGUGUAGAGGUGAAAUUCGUAGAUAUCAAGCGGAACACCGGUGGCGAAGGCGGCCUUCUGGACAGUGACUGACGCUGAGACGCGAAAGCGUGGGGAGCAAACAGG